rnacentral:rRNA from 1 species
AAAUCCCCGGGCUCAACCUGGGAACUGCGCUUGUGACUGCUAAGCUAGAGUACGGCAGAGGGGGGUGGAAUUCCACGUGUAGCAGUGAAAUGCGUAGAGAUGUGGAGGAACACCGAUGGCGAAGGCAGCCCCCUGAGCCGAUACUGACGCUCAUGCACGAAAGCGUGGGUAGCAAACAGGAUUAGAUACCCUGGUAGUCCACGCCCUAAACGAUGUCAACUAGGUGUUGGGUGGGUAAAACCAUUUAGUACCGGAGCUAACGCGUGAAGUUGACCGCCUGGGGAGUACGGUCGCAAGAUUAAAACUCAAAGAAAUUGACGGGGACCCGCACAAGCGGUGGAUGAUGUGGAUUAAUUCGAUGCAACGCGAAAAACCUUACCUACCCGUGACAUGUCCAGAAGCUCUUAGAGAUUUGAGUGUGCCCGAAAGGAAGCUGGAACACAGGUGCUGCAUGGCUGUCGUCAGCUCGUGUCGUGAGAUGUUGGGUUAAGUCCCGCAACGAGCGCAACCCUUGUCGUUAAUUGCCAUCAUUUAGUUGGGCACUUUAACGAGACUGCCGGUGACAAACCGGAGGAAGGUGGGGAUGACGUCAAGUCCUCAUGGCCCUUAUGGGUAGGGCUUCACACGUCAUACAAUGGUCGGUACAGAGGGUUGCCAAGCCGCGAGGUGGAGCCAAUCCCAGAAAGCCGAUCGUAGUCCGGAUUGCAGGCUGCAACUCGCCUGCAUGAAGUCGGAAUCGCUAGUAAUCGCGGAUCAGCAUGUCGCGGUGAAUACGUUCCCGGGUCUUGUACACACCGCCCGUCACACCAUGGGAGCGGGUUCCGCCAGAAGUAGGUAGCCUAACCGCAAGGAGGGCGCUUACCACGGCGGGGUUCGUGACUGGGGUGAAGUCGUAACAAGGUAACC